UACGAAGGGGGCUAGCGUUGCUCGGAAUGACUGGGCGUAAAGGGCGCGUAGGCGGACGGCUUUGUCGGGCGUGAAAUUCCGGGGCUUAACCUUGGGGCUGCGUUCGAGACGGGUUGUCUAGAGUUUGGAAGAGGGUCGUGGAAUUCCCAGUGUAGAGGUGAAAUUCGUAGAUAUUGGGAAGAACACCGGUGGCGAAGGCGGCGACCUGGUCCUUGACUGACGCUGAGGCGCGAAAGCGUGGGGAGCAAACAGG
rnacentral:rRNA from 1 species